rnacentral:pre_miRNA from 1 species
UAACUACUUCCUCCGUCCUAAAAUUCUUGUCUUAGAUUUAUAUGAAUGUAUCUAGUCACAUUUUAGUAUUUAGAUACAUCCAUUUCUAAAUAAACUUAAGACAAGAAUUUUGGGACGGAGGGAGUAUCAU